UAGUGAGACCUCGGAUCGAUAAGUGGAAACCUUCACGGGUAUCCUAYUUGUUGAGAAGUUGGUCAAACUUGGUCAUUUAGAGGAAGUAA
rnacentral:rRNA from 1 species